UUCACGCUUUCUUUACGGAAGAACGAGCUGCCGAACAUAAAUGGCAGGGGGCGGGGUUUAGAGGAAAAAACUUGUCAACAGCGAGCUGAACACCGGGAGUAAGGAACUGCGAUUACGGAGGAUCACACUACAAGUGAUCUUUCUGUAUUCUACCUUUGUCUGAUGCUGAUAGACUGUCCAUCUAUUUACAGUCUUUAUAGUACAUAUUUUAUUUACCAGAGGCAGUUGACAUGGAAUGGACGCUGGACUUGGAGUGUGAGGAAGGAACAAAUAUGGAGAAAAAUAGUGGGUUAAGUGGGAUUCUCAGAAGGUCAUCCAAAAUCUCAGAAAGCUCAGGACUUGCACAGGAACAAAAUGGCAAUCUCUCAAAAAGCAAUGAUAAUCUCUCUGACAAUGGCAUGAAGGUAGUUCAAAGUGUUUUUAUUAUUAUUAUUAUUAUUAUUAUUAUUAGCUAUUGGAUGUUAAAUAAUGUGGUUUAUAAUCUACCUGACCAUUGUUCUUUCUGA
rnacentral:lncRNA from 1 species